rnacentral:lncRNA from 1 species
CCAUUAAUAGUCAACACAACUCAAACGAGAACAAUAAAAAUCAAUAACUGAAAUAACUAAGUUUCUACACAAUAACCCAAGGAAUGGUAUUACAAGGCAUGAGUCACUAAGACUUAGUUUACAAAACUGGUAUGAGAAUAAAUACAAUGUCUAUUUGAAAUAUACAUAAGCAUAUUACAAAUCUAAAGCUACCAAAGACAAGGGGUAGCGAUAUCUGAAAAGCAGGUACAUCUACAAUGCCAGCUUUCUCCAGGAACAGCAGCAUCAUCUCCAAAAUCUGCACGCAAGGUGCAAAAGUGUAGUGUGAGUACAACCAGCCGUAUAUACUCAAUAAGUAACAAACCUAACCUCAAGUUGAAAGCAAUGACGAGCUCGGAAGAAGGUCAAUGUCCAACAUCAGUAACCAAUAGUAACACAGGAUAUAAUAAUGCCAGUAACAAUAAAUAGCUCAAGAGAUAUCAUAAUCGGAUCGGUCACAGAUACGGAAAUUUAGACAUGCUUUAAAAGUAUAACAGUUAAAGCCCAAAUCUUUCACCGAAAUCACAAAAAUAUGAGUUUAUCAGAGAACUAUGAUUUUUCCCAAGCUUUCAGCAAUAGAUCAGGCAUUUUGUUUUCCAGUUAGCAUGAGAAAAAUAUAUCUCUAUGCUUACAUAUCAGAUAUACAUGUCAAGUCAAUAAUACCAUGAUGCCAUCUAGCAUGAGGAAGGUGUGUCCCUAUGCCUAUAUAUUAAGUCAUCAAAUAUCAUAUUACCAUCUAGCAAGAGGAAAAUACAUCUUUAUGCCUACAUGUCAAAUACACAUGUCAGGUAAAUAAUUUCAUAGUGUUAUCAUUAAGUACACUCACUCUUAGCACAUUCAAGGUGCCUAGCACAAGUGCCCCACAUCAAACACAAAAUCACACAGCAUUGUACGGGUACCUGACAUAAAUUUCCCUCACCAAAACAUGUGUAUAUAUAUCAUUGUGCCUGUUCUCACUGAAAGUAUCAGACUCCGGAGGGAGGAUCCUGCCCCAAGGCUAAUCAAAAGCCAAUAUGGCAUGUUGCGGUGUGCAACCCGAUCCAAAUAAUAAUCAAUAGACAAUAAGACAUGUUGCGGCGUGCAACCCGAUUCAAAUACCCAUCAAUAGCCCAUAUGGCAUGUUGCUGCGUGCAACCCGAUCUAAAUAUCACUCACAAUAUGUCUCUAUGACCCACAUCAUUCAUCAACCGCUCAAAUCUCCAUAUGCCAAUAUCUCACAAAAAUAUAAUCCAAUUAUACAACACGAAAUAUGAUAAUGUGCCACAAAUUCGACUCAAACUCGUAUCACAUACAAGGACACUAAUAACAUAUGAGACAGUAUAUCAAAAGUGCAUAAAGACAUAGAUAUAGCAUGCGGAUGUAACUAUUAUGACUAAACAGUAUGACUACGGCUAAGGCAAAUAGCUCAACAUGGCAGAAACAGCCCUAUUAUGUCUCAAACAAUAAAGUAGAUACCCUAAAUAUUAUUUCUAGCAUGAAUAAAAACUCACGUAGUCAUACAAAUGGAGAAAACAUGAUAUCAAAGAAGCAUGAUAGCAAAACAAGGCAUAUAAUGCCUAAGAACUACCCGAAUCAUGAAUACCCCGGUGCACGCACACACGCCCAUUACCUAGCGCGUUUGUCACCCACAACACCUCUCAAUUAUCAUAGUUUCAAGGAUAACUACCCUCAAUUACAAGUUUAGAUAUGUUAAUUACCUCGAACAAGCCAAAACAAAUACCGAGCAAGCUGGACAAUACUCUAGAAAUGACAUUUCACGUGAAUCGGCCUCUGAACGACUCGAAACUAGCCAAAAGCAACUCAAAAUAUCAAAUAAUGUUGUAGGAAAUAAUCCCAAGCGAUAAAGGUUGAAUCUUUAAUCAAAUAAUCAAAGUCAACCAAAAAGUCAACCCAUGCCCGCAUCUCAAAACCCGACAAAAUUUAUAAAUUCUGAUAACCCAUUCAAUUACGAGUCCAACAAUACUAAUUUCACUCAAAUCCGACUCCGAAUCGAUGUUCAAAUCUCAAAUAUUCACUUUAUAAAAGUUUGACCCCCCCCCCCCCCCCAGUUUCUCUUUAAGAUUCAUCACCCAAAUGCCAAAAUUAAAGAUAAAAUCAUGUAAGAUAAUCAAAGAACUUCCAAAUUACAAAGCUUCAGGUAUAGAUGGCUACCCUGUAGAAUUCUUCAAAGAGUAUUGGGGGAUUGUAGGUGAAGAUAUUAUAAAUACAAUACUGCAGUUCUUUCAAAAUGGCAAGCUGCUAAAUGAAGUAAAUUGUACCACCAUCACCCUAGUUCCCAAGGUUGCUAAUCCUACUUAUGUAAAGGAUUACAAGCCUAUUGCAUGUUACUCCACCAUAUACAAACUGAUAGCAAAGGUGCUAACUGGUAGAUUGAAAAGUGUAGUAGAUUAUUUGGUGGGACCAACCCAAUCUGUAUUUAUUGAGGGGAGGAAUAUACUUGAUAAUGUUAUUGUUGCUCAUGAAUUAGUGAACGGAUAUUCACAGAAAGGUGUGUCCCCCAGAUGUAUGGUUAAAGUAGAUAUAAGGAAAGCCUAUGACUCGGUGAAUUGGGAUUUCUGGAAGAUGGUAUUGCUGGAGUAUGGCAUUCCAUUGAAAGUGGUGGAACUUAUUAUGAUAUGUGUCUCUACAGUUAGUUACUUCUUGUUGAUAAAUGGCAGUCUGACUCAAUGUCUUCCACUGGUUCUAGCAAUGAUCUUUUCAACUAGUGGAAGAGUCACUUAGAUUGUUUGAAUAGCUACCCUACAUUGAUUUGAGUUGUUAUAGUGAUGUACAGUUUUAGUGAUCUAAAGUUAGCUCUAUAGUUGUCAUAGUCCUGAUUCACUUGAGAUUUGAAUCAUGAGUCAAACUGAGUCAUAUAUACAUAUUGAUACUUGAUUAAAUGAAAAUUUUCCUUUUAACCAAAAAAAUAAUAAUCAAAACCUAGUUGAAAAUACUUACCCCAAUCUAUGUGGUGAAAUUCUCCUCUAAAAUCGCCCAAAAUCGAGCUCUAGAUCUCCAAAUGCGGUAAAACAACUCAACCCUCGAAAUAAAUAAGAUUUGCCCAGGAAUCUCCGCAUUUGCGGACCAACUCGCGCACAUGCGCUCAAGCAUUUGCGAGACAAAGCUCGCAUCUACGACUUUCACUUACCUGAGAACAAACCGCAUAUGCGCCACAGCCCACACGACCCGCAUCUGCGAUAACUCAGAAGCGCAUACUCAUCCGCAGAAGCGGACACCUACCUAGAGCCUCAUUCCCGCAUCUGCGAUCAAACAUCCGCAGAUGCGGCCUCACACAUGCGUUCCCUAACCCGCAGAAGCGGAACACCUGAAUAUGCCACAACCUCACAGAAGCGACUCAAACCUCGCAGAAACGGAUUCGCAUUUGCGUUCCAACCUGCGCAGAUGCGAAACACCAGAACCAGGUUUUCCUAAUAACAUGGAAAUGAUACGAAACUCACCCGAGCUCCUCGAGACCCCGUCCGAACAUACCAACAAGUCCCAAAACAUAACGCGGACCAACUCGAGGCCUCAAAUCCUACAUAGCAACAUUAAAACCAUGAAUCAUACCUCAAAUCAAAUUUAAUGAACUUUUAAACUUUCAACUUCCAAAACUCGUGUUGAACCACAUUAAAUCAACUCGGAAUGACCUCAAAUUUUGCAUACAAGUUUCAAAUUACAUAACGAACCUAUUCUAACUCCCGAAACAACAAUCCGAACUCGAUAUCAUCGAAGUCAACUCUCGGUCAAACUUAUGAAUAUUCCAAACCUUCAAAUUGCUAACUUUCGCCAAAUAGUACUGAAACCUUCUAGAAACGUCCAAAUGCAAAUUCGGGCAUAUGCCCAAGUCCAAAAUCGUCAUUCAACCUAACGGAACCAUAAAAACUCCGAUCGGGGUCAAAUAUACAAAAGUCAAACUUGGUCAACUCUUCCAACUUAAAGCUUCCUAUUUAAGAAUCAUUCGUCCAAAUCAAGUCCGAACAAUUCUAAGACCAAAACCGACCAUACAUGCAAGUCUUAAUACACCAAAUGAUGCUACUCAUGACCUCAAACUACCGAACUGAAUGCAAAUGCUCAAAACAACCGGUCGUGUCGUUACAAUAUAUUUUUAUGAUGAGUUGACAAUUGAUGAUUAUGAGAUUUACCGUGAUAAAGGGGCGAUGCUCGUGCAUGUUCCCAUGUGAUCGGCGUAUAAAAGGCUCUGGAUGAUGAUUUGAAGGGUUCCUCGUACCUUAUUCAUGGAAGUUGGACUGGUUGGUGUGAAAACUUCAUAUUCUUGUAUCUUCAUUCUUCACACACCUCCCGUGCUCCUGUACAAUUAAAGUUCCGAACUGGACGUUCUUGGAAACUUUACACAAACAAUCUUAGCUUUCUGCUACAGUUUAACUUGCUCUCGCUGUGUUAUGAAAUUUUAUAGGUUAAUUCUCUUUGAGUUGGAAUUUUAUGUACACCAUGCAAGUAUAUGAUAGAUGGAGUGAGCCAAAUUUGAUGUCACUUUAUUCUAGUAGAUUCUUUUGUUUUGUGGGCUUUAAAAUUGAAAUAGAGAAAGAGAGAGUAAAUGAACUAAGUAGUUACUUUUAAU